AUGAACGCUAGCUACAGGCUUAACACAUGCAAGUCGAGGGGCAGCAUUUUAGUUUGCUUGCAAACUGAAGAUGGCGACCGGCGCACGGGUGAGUAACACGUAUCCAACCUGCCGAUAACUCCGGAAUAGCCUUUCGAAAGAAAGAUUAAUACCGGAUAGCAUACGAAUAUCGCAUGAUAUUUUUAUUAAAGAAUUUCGGUUAUCGAUGGGGAUGCGUUCCAUUAGUUUGUUGGCGGGGUAACGGCCCACCAAGACUACGAUGGAUAGGGGUUCUGAGAGGAAGGUCCCCCACAUUGGAACUGAGACACGGUCCAAACUCCUACGGGAGGCAGCAGUGAGGAAUAUUGGUCAAUGGGCGAGAGCCUGAACCAGCCAAGUAGCGUGAAGGAUGAAGGCUCUAUGGGUCGUAAACUUCUUUUAUAUGGGAAUAAAGUUUUCCACGUGUGGAAUUUUGUAUGUACCAUAUGAAUAAGGAUCGGCUAACUCCGUGCCAGCAGCCGCGGUAAUACGGAGGAUCCGAGCGUUAUCCGGAUUUAUUGGGUUUAAAGGGAGCGUAGGUGGAUUGUUAAGUCAGUUGUGAAAGUUUGCGGCUCAACCGUAAAAUUGCAGUUGAAACUGGCAGUCUUGAGUACAGUAGAGGUGGGCGGAAUUCGUGGUGUAGCGGUGAAAUGCUUAGAUAUCACGAAGAACUCCGAUUGCGAAGGCAGCUCACUAGACUGUCACUGACACUGAUGCUCGAAAGUGUGGGUAUCAAACAGGAUUAGAUACCCUGGUAGUCCACACAGUAAACGAUGAAUACUCGCUGUUUGCGAUAUACGGCAAGCGGCCAAGCGAAAGCGUUAAGUAUUCCACCUGGGGAGUACGCCGGCAACGGUGAAACUCAAAGGAAUUGACGGGGGCCCGCACAAGCGGAGGAACAUGUGGUUUAAUUCGAUGAUACGCGAGGAACCUUACCCGGGCUUAAAUUGCAACAGAAUAUAUUGGAAACAGUAUAGCCGUAAGGCUGUUGUGAAGGUGCUGCAUGGUUGUCGUCAGCUCGUGCCGUGAGGUGUCGGCUUAAGUGCCAUAACGAGCGCAACCCUUAUCUUUAGUUACUAACAGGUUAUGCUGAGGACUCUAGAGAGACUGCCGUCGUAAGAUGUGAGGAAGGUGGGGAUGACGUCAAAUCAGCACGGCCCUUACGUCCGGGGCUACACACGUGUUACAAUGGGGGGUACAGAAGGCGGCUACCUGGUGACAGGAUGCUAAUCCCAAAAACCUCUCUCAGUUCGGAUCGAAGUCUGCAACCCGACUUCGUGAAGCUGGAUUCGCUAGUAAUCGCGCAUCAGCCAUGGCGCGGUGAAUACGUUCCCGGGCCUUGUACACACCGCCCGUCAAGCCAUGAAAGCCGGGGGUACCUGAAGUACGUAACCGCAAGGAGCGUCCUAGGGUAAAACUGGUAAUUGGGGCU
rnacentral:rRNA from 1 species